rnacentral:rRNA from 1 species
UACGGAGGGUGCAAGCGUUAUCCGGAUUCACUGGGUUUAAAGGGUGCGUAGGUGGGCAGGUAAGUCAGUGGUGAAAUCUCCGGGCUCAACCCGGAAACUGCCAUUGAUACUAUCAGUCUUGAAUACCGUGGAGGUGAGCGGAAUAUGUCAUGUAGCGGUGAAAUGCUUAGAUAUGACAUAGAACACCAAUUGCGAAGGCAGCUCACUACGCGAAUAUUGACACUGAGGCACGAAAGCGUGGGGAUCAAACAGG